GAAACGCGAUAGUUAAUGUGAAUUGCAGAAUUCAGUGAAUCAUCGAGUCUUUGAACGCACAUUGCGCCCAUAGGUAUUCCUUUGGGCAUGUCUGUUUGAGCGUCAUUACAACCCUCAGCUAACCGCUGGUUUUGAACCUGAACGGGUGACACCGCGCCGGUUUUAAAGUUGUAAGCUCUGCUGGCCACUCUGCCCAACCAGAACAUAGUAAGCACUACUUGUCCGGGUGAAGCUGAACGGUACGGCCUGAACAAAACCUACCCACUCUCAAGGUUUGACCUCAGAUCAGACAAGGAUACCCGCUGAACUUAAGC
rnacentral:misc_RNA from 1 species